GGUGAACGCUGGCGGCGUGCCUAAUACAUGCAAGUCGAGCGAACAGAUAAGGAGCUUGCUCCUUUGACGUUAGCGGCGGACGGGUGAGUAACACGUGGGUAACCUACCUAUAAGACUGGGAUAACUUCGGGAAACCGGAGCUAAUACCGGAUAACAUUUGGAACCGCAUGGUUCUAAAGUGAAAGAUGGUUUUGCUAUCACUUAUAGAUGGACCCGCGCCGUAUUAGCUAGUUGGUAAGGUAACGGCUUACCAAGGCAACGAUACGUAGCCGACCUGAGAGGGUGAUCGGCCACACUGGAACUGAGACACGGUCCAGACUCCUACGGGAGGCAGCAGUAGGGAAUCUUCCGCAAUGGGCGAAAGCCUGACGGAGCAACGCCGCGUGAGUGAUGAAGGGUUUCGGCUCGUAAAACUCUGUUAUUAGGGAAGAACAAAUGUGUAAGUAACUGUGCACGUCUUGACGGUACCUAAUCAGAAAGCCACGGCUAACUACGUG
rnacentral:rRNA from 1 species